rnacentral:rRNA from 1 species
UGGGGAAUAUUGGGGCAAUGGGGGAAAGCCCAUGACCCACGCAACGCCGCGUGAAGGAAGAAGGCCUCGGGCUUGGUUAACAUCUUUUCAUCACGGAGCGAAGGAAGUGACGGUACCUGGAGAAAAAGCAACGGCUAACUACGUGCCAGCAGCCGCGGUAAUACGUAGGUUGCGAGCGUUGUCCGGAUUUACUGGGUGUAAAGGGCGUGUAGGCGGAGAAGCAAGUUGGGAGUGAAAUCUAUGGGCUCAACCCAUAAACUGCUCUCAAAACUGUUUCCCUUGAGUAUCGGAGAGGCAAGCGGAAUUCCUAGUGUAGCGGUGAAAUGCGUAGAUAUUAGGAGGAACACCAGUGGCGAAGGCGGCUUGCUGGACGACAACUGACGCUGAGGCGCGAAAGCGUGGGGAGCAAACAGGAUUAGAUACC